rnacentral:rRNA from 1 species
AGUCAACAUGCCCAGAGGACGUGGAUAACCUCGGGAAACUGAGGAUAAACCGCGAUAGGUCAUAAUAUCUGGAAUGAUUUAUGGUUUAAAUCUAUAUGGCCUCUGGAUUGGACUGCGGCCGAUCAGGCUGUUGGUGAGGUAAUGACCCACCAAACCUAAAACCGGUACGGGCUCUGAGAGGAGAAGCCCGGAGAUGGGCACUGAGACAAGGGCCCAGGCCCUAUGGGGCGCAGCAGGCGCGAAAACUCUGCAAUAAGCGAAAGCUUGACAGGGUUAUUCUGAGUGAUUUCCGCUAAGGAAAUCUUUUGGCACCUCUAAAAAUGGUGCAGAAUAAGGGGUGGGCAAGCCUGGUGUCAGCCGCCGCGGUAAUACCAGCACCCCGAGUGGUCGGGACGAUUAUUGGGCCUAAAGCAUCCGUAGCCGGUUCUACAAGUCUUCCGUUAAAUCCACCUGCUUAACAGAUGGGCUGCGGAGGAUACUAUGGAGCUAGGAGGCGGGAGAGGCAAGCGGUACUUAGUGGGUAGGGGUAAAAUCCGUUGAUCCAUUGAAGACCACCAGUGGCGAAGGCGGCUUGCCAGAACGCACUCGACGGUGAGGGAUGAAAGCUGGGGGAGUAAACC